rnacentral:rRNA from 1 species
CACGUAGGGUGCAAGCGUUGUCCGGAAUUAUUGGGCGUAAAGGGCGCGUAGGCGGCUUUGCAAGUGACGGGUGAAAUCCCUCGGCUUAACCGAGGAACUGCCUGUCAAACUGCAUGGCUUGAGACCGGGAGAGGCGAGUGGAAUUCCUGGUGUAGCGGUGAAAUGCGCAGAUAUCAGGAGGAACACCAAUUGCGAAGGCAGCUCGCUGGGACGUUACUGACGCUGAGACGCGAAAGCGUGGGGAGCAAACAGG